AAGUUAAGCUAAUAUUACCACGUGGACAAAAGAGAACGGGCUUUCAUAAGGGUUAUAGAUACCUAGGGCGUGUUUGGUUCGCUCCUUUUUUAUCAUGGAAUCGGAAUGGGAAUGAGUGAAUCCGCUUGUGGGUGUUUGGUACGUGGGAGUCCCAUUCUGAUUCCGAUUCCCGAGUGGAAUGGGAAUCGCUCAAUCACCCCUUUUUUUAAUCCGGCCUAGAAGGCCGGAUUAGAAGUUGAAUCCGGACAGAAUGGAUAUUUAUUCGGAUUAAAUUUAUUUUUUCAACUUUUUU
rnacentral:lncRNA from 1 species